rnacentral:rRNA from 1 species
GACGAACCGUGCAAACGUUAUUCGGAAUCACUGGGCUUAAAGGGCGCGUAGGCGGGUGCUCAAGUCCGGGGUGAAAUCCUCCAGCUCAACUGGAGAACUGCCUCGGAUACUGGGUGUCUCGAGUGUGGUAGGGGUAUGCGGAACUAUCGGUGGAGCGGUGAAAUGCGUUGAUAUCGAUAGGAACUCCGGUGGCGAAGGCGGCAUACUGGACCACUACUGACGCUGAUGCGCGAAAGCCAGGGGAGCAAACGGG